rnacentral:rRNA from 1 species
CAACUUUCAGCAGUGGAUGUCUAGGCUCGCACACCGAUGAAGAACGCUGCGAACUGCGAUACGUAAUGCGAAUUGCAGGAUUCAGUGAGUCAUCGAAAUUUUGAACGCAUAUUGCACUUUCGGGUUAUGCCUGGAAGUAUGCCUGUAUCAGUGUCCGUA